AUUUGUAACAUGACCUGCCGGGUUGGGGAUCCCUGAUUCAAAUGAAUAUUUAAAGAUUUUAGCAGGGUUGGGCCUGGUUAGUACUUGGAUGGGAGACCGCCUGGGAAUACCAGGUGCUGUAGGCU
rnacentral:rRNA from 1 species